rnacentral:tRNA from 1 species
GCCUGGGUGGCUCAGUCAGUUAAGCAUCUGACUUCAGCUCAGGUCAUGAUCUCACAGUUUGUGGGUUCGAGCCCCGCAUCAGGCU